UUACAGGUGAGUUUAAUUUCAUAAAUAACAAUUCUGAAUUGCUUUUUCCUGCAUGACAUACUUUUCAAUAAUAGCAAAAAUCCUCAACUUUGCUUAUUAGACCCCGCUUUGUAAAUAUGAAACAGUAUGCAAAUGAAUUAUAUUAAUAAGUGACUGAGUUAUUAAUAAUUUGCAUUGUCCGCCAUCAACAAUUAGGUCAUUAAUGACCGGGGUUAAAAGGAAGAGCCUUGCACACACACACUCAGUUGAUCAGGAAUAUCAGUCCCAUAAUCGUCAACAUGACUCUUUAAUUGCACAUAAAAGAGUAAGAUGUUACUUACCUCUCUGAAGUCAAGGCCCACAGGACAGUUGAACUCUACCAGCUACAUGCACGUCUGUAUGCACGAGUGAAUGAGGGAGGGAUGCAUGGCUAAGGUUGCGUACCCAGCUGUGCCGGCGAUUUUAAUUAACUCAUCUUUGGAGAGGCCAUACUUCACUCCAGUGUUCUCUGGGACCGUGACCUUCACGCAGCCAUUUAUUUCUCGGGUCAUUGGCUGUUUUGCCUGAUCCACUUCCUUCAGUUCUACGUCCUUCAUUUCUCUUCUUUAUGAAGGUGUAAUCAACACAACUCAAAGACACAUCUUCCCUGCAUGCUAUUCUGUCUCCUUCCCUCAGUUUAAGAUGAACAAUACCAGCUGAGUUGAAGAGGAAGAGUCUGAGGAGUGUGGUUUGUUUUCUCAGCGCUCUGCAUGGGGUCCUGGGGUUCACAGAUGCUCUGCAGGGGUCUGGGUGGACCUUUCCUAAGCCUGUCUGAUCCUGCUCUCCAGUACCUUGUUCAAAGAGAUGGAAAAAAUAUAACAGACCACAACCAGAUGGAACUGGUCUAUUUUUUUCCCCAAGUGUGUUUAUUGUUAUUGUUGUAGGCUUUGGGGAGUCUGUGUGUGUUUGAAAAGAUGCAGAAUUGCGCUUCAUUCCAAUGCAGGUCAGUAGUUUUCUGUAAAGUACUAUAAGAAUUGUUUUAUGGAGAUGUAAAUAGUAUGGAUUACCAUAAAAUUUAUCUUAGUUAUUUACCUGGAACACAUGCAUGGGUAUUGGCUAAAAACAAGACUUUGUGUCUAUAACACAAAUAAAGCAAAUAAAAUAGACAAAAUACAAUAUAUUUUAUGUUUUCCACACAAAUAUUGUACAUACAUGUUUUACUAUUUUCCUGUUAGUAUUGUUAAAAAAAAAAUGUUGCACUUACAAGACAACAUGUACUUUUAAAGUAUGGUAGAGUAAAUUAUUGUUAAAAAUAGGCAUUUGGAUUUACAUAAUAUGACUGUAGGUGGAGACCGGGGAUGGUUAUAACACGGGUUAGAUGUAACACUUCCAGUUUCUCCAAUGAGGAACAAGUUACAAAUCACCUGAUUCACUUCACACAUGCUUCACACAAGUCCUUAUUCCACAUGCAGGAAAGUAGAGCCCUGUGGUGGACACAGCAGAUUUUUAGAGAAAAACUCAUUUUGAUGUAAGAAAGUAACUUUUUUUACUUCAUUUAUUUUUUAUGGCAAUUCCUGCUUUGUAGUUAAACUUGUCAAAGCUAAAUUAUGUUUAUUGUGUGUCUGUAGAUAUUUUUCAUGCAAGUUGUUUGUGCCAAUGUUUUGGCUGUUAGCUGUAAAGGGAGCUAGUUCAUGGCUACAAGACUCUGGGUUAGUUGUAACAUCAAUGAAGAGAAGAGAAAGACAUCAGGUGGAUAUCAUAAUGUUAUCUCACCCUAGGGUCUGUUACAACUAACCCGGACUAUGGGGUGAAUUGUAACAUUUGAAACCAACUAAACCAUGCAUUUUCUGUUUGUGCUGCAAAGAUAACAGCUGUCAUUUAAUAGCUGACAAUUUAACUAGUUUUAACCACAUUUUGAACACACUGACUUAAAAGAACUCCAAGAUACAGACAGAAAUGUCAAAAAAUGUUACAACCGUCACUGGUCUCCCUUAUAAGAGUUAUUUUGAGGGUUUUGGGCCAUACAUUUCUGUGCAUUGCUAAAAAGUUGUGGGCUUGUGCAUGUUCAUAAAGGGUCACCGUGAUGUGCCAAGUAAGACGUUAUUAACAUUUUGUUGAUCCUGGAACAACAUUCCUGUCUGAAAAUGUAGUCUCUCUAAAAUCAGAGGGAAAUGACAGGUGAAUAACACUGAUGUAGAAGCACCUUAAUCUGGUUUUAAGCCUAAACUUGACAUAAACUGUAAGCUUGUCCCUCAAAUCUGAUUGGUUGAUUGGAAUGUCCAGGAUCAACAAAUAUGUUGAUUUAGGAACAUGUUGCACUAGUAGCCACGAGCUGUUCACUGACCAAUACUGCCACUUACAAGCCUUUCCCUCAGUUACCCCCGGUUUCACAGACAAGGUUUAAGCUAGUCCCAGACUAAAGUGUAUGUUUGAGCUGUUUUAAAAAGCAACUUGUACUGACAUAUCUUAAAAUAUGUCACUGCCAUUGUUUUGUCUCAAGAUGGACACCAGUAAUGUUUUUUUCUGGUGUACUUUUAUAAAAGCUACUUAAAUAUCCUAAUUGAACUAAGGCCCAAUCCUGGCUUAGUCUAAGCCCUAUCUGUGAAACCGGGCCUACAUUUAUGGCCCGAUUGAGUAAUUGGAUAUCAUUAUUUAGCAUUUCUAAUGUACACUAUUCAAAGGUUUGGGGUCAGAUUUCUGAAAGAAGGCUGCAUUUAUUUGCUCAAAAAUACAAUAAAACAGUAAUAUCGUGAAAUAUUAUUAAAAUAUAAAUAACUCCUUUCUAUUUUAAUGUUUUUAAAAUAUGGUUUACUGCAGUUGGAUCAUUUUAUACAGGUAAAAAUAAUUUUGUUUAAACUAAAUUAAAAUAA